CAACCACAACCCUAUUCAUGCAUACUAUCCAUACAACUCCCAUAAAACCUUCAAAAAUCAGUAAAAGAGGUUCUGGAUCUUUACUUACCUCUUCCAAACAAGAGAUCAAGUGAUCCUAUCGUGGAGCUAUGGAGAAAUCUCCUCACAACUCUCCAAACUUCAAAACUUGGUUCUUUUGCUCAAAACUCUCAAAACCUUCAAAACCGUCAAAAACACAUGAAAACUCUUCAAGAUUUGAGCAAGAUCAUGAAAGUCAACUAGGGAGGGUGUUGGACUCACCUCUGGCUGAAAAUGGAAGCAA
rnacentral:lncRNA from 1 species